rnacentral:lncRNA from 1 species
GUUGUGGGUUUGGACCUCAUUAGGUCAUGUCCAUAGUGUUGGUUGUACGUUUGGACCUCAUUUGGUAAUGUCUAUAGUGUUGGUUGUGGGUUUGGACCUCAUUUGGUCAUGUACAUAGUGUUGGUUGUGGGUUUGGACCUCAUUAGGUCAUGUACGGGUGUUGGAUGAGUGUUUGGACCUCAUUAGGUCAUGUACGGGUGUUGGUUGUGGGUUUGGACCUCAUUAGGUCAUAUCCAUAGUGUUGGCUGUGGGUUUGGACCUCAUUUGGUAGUGUCCAUAGUGUUGGUUGUAGGUUUGGACCUCAUUUGGUCAUGUCCAUAGUGUUGGUUGUGGGUUUGGACCUCAUUUGGUCAUGUAUGGGUGUUGGCUGUGGGUUUGGACCUCAUUUGGUCAUGUUUGGGUGUUGGUUGUGGGUUUGGACCUUAUUAGGGCAUGUACAGGUGUUGGUUGUAGGUUUGUACCUCAUUUGGUCAUGUAUGGGUGUUGAUUGUGGGGUUGGACCUCAUUUGGUCGUGUCCAUAGUCUUGGUUGUGGUUUUGGACCUCAUUUGGUCAUGUUCAUAGUGUUGGAUGUGGGUUUGGACCUCAUUUGGUCAUGUAUGGGUGUUGGUUGUGGGUUUGGACCUCAUUAGGUCAUGUCCAUAGUGUUGCUUGUAGGUUUGGACCUCAUUUGUUCAUGUAUGGGUGUUGGUUGUGGGUUUGGACAUGAUUAGGUUAUGUCCAUAGUGUUGGUUAUGGGUUUGGACCUCAUUUGGUAAUGUCCAUAGUGUUGGUUGUGGGUUUGGACCUCAUUUGGUCAUGUCCAUAGUGUUGGUUGUGGGUUUGGACUUCAUUUGGUCAUGUAUGGGUGUUGGUUGUGGGUUUGGACCUCAUUUGGUCAUGUCCAUAGUGUUGGUUGUGGGUUUGGCCCUCAUUUGGUCAUGUAUGGGUGUUGGUAGUGGGUUUGGACCUCAUUAGGUCAUGUCCAUAGUGUUGGUUGUAUGUUUGGACCUCAUUUGGUAAUGUCCAUAGUGUUGGUUGUGGGUUUGGACCUCAUUUGGUCAUGUCCAUAGUGUUGGUUGUGGGUUUGGACCUCAUUAGGUCAUGUACGGGUGUUGGUUGUGGGUUUGGACCUCAUUAGGUCAUGUACGGGUGUUGGUUAUGGGUUUGGACCUCAUUAGGUCAUGUCUAUAGUGUUGGUUGUAGGUUUGGACCUCAUUUAGUAAUGUUCAUAGUGUUGGUUGUAGGUUUCGACCUCAUUUAGUCAUGUCCAUAGUGUUGGUUGUGGGUUUGGACCUCAUUUGGUCAUGUAUGGGUGUUGGUUGUGGGUUUGGACCUCAUUUGGUCAUGUUUGGGUGGUGGUUUUGCGUGUGCACCUCAUUUGGGCAUGUACGGGUGUUGGUUGUAGGUUUGUACCUCAUUUGGUCAUGUAUGGGUGUUGAUUGUGGGGUUGGACCUCAUUUGGUCAUGUUCAUAGUCUUGGUUGUGGGUUUGGACCUCAUUUGGUCAUGUUGAUAGUGUUGCAUGUGGGUGCGGACCUCAUUUGGUCAUGUAUGGGUGUUGGUUGUGGGUUUGGACCUCAUUAGGUCAUGUCCAUAGUGUUGGUUGUACGUUUGGAGCUCAUUUGGUAAUGUACAUAGUGUUGGUUAUGGGAUUGGACCGUAUUUGGUAAUGUCCAUAGUGUUGGUUGUGGGUUUGGACCUCAUUAAGUCAUGUACGAGCGUUGGUCGUGGGUUUGGACGUCAUUAGGUCAUGUACGGGUGUUGGUUGUAGGUUUGGACCUCAUUAGGUCAUCUAUAGGUGUUGAUUGGGGGGUUGGACCUCAUUUGGUCAUGUCUAUAGUCUUAGUUGUGGGUUUGGACCUCAUUUGGUCAUUUUCGUAGUGUUGGCUAUGGUUUUGGACCUCAUUUGGUCAUGUAUAGGUGUUGGUUGUGGGUUUGGACCUCAUUUGGUCAUGUCCAUAGUGUUGGUUGUGGGUUUGGACCUCAUUAGGUCAUGUACGGGUGUUAGUUGUGGGUUUGGACCCCGUUUUGUCAUGUCCGUAGUGUUAGUUGUGGGUUUAGACCUCAUUGGGUCAUGUAUGGGUGUUGGUUGUGGGUUUGGACCUCAUUUGGUCAUGUAUGGGUGUUGGUUGUGGGUUUGGACCUCAUUUGGUCAUGUCCAUAGUGUUGGUUGUGGGAUUGGACCUCAUUUGGUCAUGUAUCGGUGUUGAUUUUGGGUUUGGACCUCAUUAGGUCAUGUCUAUAGUGUUGGUUGUGGGUUUGGACCUCAUUUGGUAAUGUCCAUAGUGUUGGUUGUGGGUUUGGACCUCAUUUGGCCAUUUUCCAUAGUGUUGGUUGUGGGUUUGGACCUCAUGAGGUCAUGUACGGGUGUUGGUUGUGGUUUUGGACCUUAUUAGGACAUGUACUGGUGUUGGUUGUGGGUUUUGACCUCAUUAGGUCAUGUACAUAGUGUUGGUUGUGGGUUUGGACCUCAUUUGGUAAUGUCUGUAGUAUUGGUUGUGGGUUUGAUCCUCUUUUGGUCAUGUCCAUAGUGUUGGUUGUCGGUUAGGACCUCAUUUGGUCAUGUCCAUAGUGUUGGUUGUGGGUUUGGACCUCGUUUGCUCAUGUAUGGGUGUUGGUUGUGGGUUUAGACCUCAUUUGUGUUGGAAUAGUGUCUAAGGCUGCAACUAUAUUAGGCAAGUAUUUGACCCGGUUGUGCAUGGUCCUUUUGGGUUGCCUUCACCAUAGCAACUUGAUAGGAUGAUUUAUUAAGAGAGAGUAAAUAUUAUUAAUAUAUUAUGAGAAUAAUAUAAAGAAUAAUAUAUUGUUAUUUGAUUAAUAUAAGUCAUAGAAUUAAUUGGAAUUAAUUUGGUGACUUAAAGAGAUUAAUUAAAUAAGAGGGUAUAAACUGUCAAUUGUUUGAUAGUUAAACUUUAGACUGUAAAUCCAUAUAGAUAUGGAUUGGACGGAUUCUAGAAGCUAAAGGAUAGCUCAAAUCGUCCAUUGCUUAUCUAUGGAAUGGAUUUGGAUAGCCUUAAGAGAAGAUUAUCCAAUUAGGGUUUAGGUUGUAACCCUUAAGGAGUCUACAAGUAUAAAUAGACCCUAUGGCAUAAGGAAAUCGGCACUUCAUCUAAAGUAAGAGAACCCUGGCCGAUUUCCUCCCUUCUCUUCUCUCCCAAAUCAUCCUCCUUGCUAGUUGGUGUUUGUAACCCAUUAGAGGAGUGACAAUUGUGACUCUAGAAGCUCCAAGACAACAAGAUCAACAAGGAAUUCAAAGGUAUGAUUCUAGAUCUGUUUUAAUAUUGGUAUUGCACCUAAAUAGUCAUUAGAAGUCUUGGAUUCAAAGCACGUUUGAUUAGAAAGCCUAGAUCCAAGCAUUAGGGUCUUGCAUGCGCACAUAGGAAAGUUCUUAUGGCUAAAACCCAUCAGUGGUAUCAGAGCCUAGCUUGGUUUUCUGUAAAUUGUUGCUUGAUUAACUGAAACAAACCUGCAAAAUUCGAAUUUUUGGUUUCUGAGUCAUGGACUCGGCGAGUCUCAAAGUGGACUCGGCGAGUAGGCCUGACUCGGCGAGUCCAUUUGUGCACUCGGCGAGUCCAGGCGUCAGGAAUGGCCAGAUUCGGGAUUUCUUUGUGUUUAUCUUAUCUUAACUUACCAUAAACUAAUUAGAUCAACAUUAAUUCGUUUUUCUGAUAAAUAUAACUAUUAUCUUGAUCUAGUUAAAGGUAAUUAUCAACUAAUUAAAUAUUUAAUUUCCUUAUAUGAUAAUUAAUUAAUUAUUUUGAUUAUUUUGGUAAUUAUCUUUAAAAGAAAUCUUGAAUAAAUCAAAUAUAGAUAAUUAGGAUAUUAAUUGUUAAUUGGAAUUAUUUGUUAUUUGAUCCUCCAUGUUUUAAAUGUUUAAAACCUACCCUCAUGUUUUGAAAUUUACUUUUGUGAUUAAAAGUUUUAAUUUAGACAACUUAAAUUUCAAACCCUAGAUUUUAAAAGUUUUAAAAUACAACCCUAUACUAAUAUGAUAUUACUAGAAUAAUAUAUAUAUGUAUAACUAAAUGCUAGUCUUACCGUUAGUAGGCCUCAUUCACGAAGCCGAUCUAUAAGGUGGGUAUAAGGUUGCGGCCUAUAAAAUGGCGCUUAAUGGGUGUACACUCACACCCACCGCUUGCUUGAUUGGUGGAGGGUCGUUAGCCGAACGGGUAGGAUAGGGCAACCUCAUCCUCUCAUUAAAAGUAUAAUAAGAAAUAUAAAGUAACUACAUAUUUUUUUAAAAUUUCCCAAUCCUAGUUACUUUAGGAAAAGUGAAUUGAUGCAAUCCCAUGAAAUUACACUUUGCACCUUGCUAAGAUGUUAGUGGAGCGUGUGUGGUUUACCGGCACACUAAUUGGUUCUAAGCGAAGGUGGCAAAGGGUGAUUCAUUGUUUAUCAUAGUUCGAUGGAGCGUGUGUGGUUUACCGGCACAUCGAAUAGGUGAUCGUUACAAUGAAGGCACCAUGUGAAUUUGCAUGGUAAUUCACACCCGCUUUGUGAUCCUCGGCAUCCCAGUCACAAACAAGAGGGGCAUAUCGAGAUUUAAACAUGCCAUUGAAUAGUUUCAAUGAAUCUCAUCCGAACCUAGGAAUUCUCAAAAACACUUAGGACUAAUAGUUUAAGUUUUGUGAUGGAGAAUUAGUGAAUCGUCAUUCACUUACCUUCAAUUUAUUUGCAUGUUAGAUUACGGCAUCCCUUUUCUAGUAUGUAAAUGUUAUUGUUGGAUCCUAGCCCUAAUUUUCUUAUUGGGUGAUAAUUAGGGAUUCUUAUUCUAAUCUAUCUUUGUCCUUUUCUAAUUGUAGAUGUCGAACGCAAACAACGCUGCUGCUAGUUCUUUCACGUUGAUGAGCCUUUGCCAAAAGGUCACCUUCGAUGGAACGAACUUUAGCGAAUGGAUAAGAUACAUUCGCACCAUUGCUCGCUAUGAGGAUAAGGAGUAUGUCCUCGAUGAGAAGCUCGAGAAAAUCAACCCCGAAAUUGCUACUCCCGCCGAAAUCACCGCCUUUGAAACUCAUGAGCGAGAUGCAACGAAGGUACAUUGCAUCAUGAUCGCCACCAUGAACUCCGAAUUCCAAAAGUCCUACGAGGACAUGUACCCGUACGAGAUGCAUCAAGACUUAUUGGAGAGGUACCACCAAAACGCGAGACAAGAGAGGUACGAGAUUUUCACUAACAUGAUUUCCGCGAAGAUGGGUCAUGGAGAAUCUCUUACCGUGCACUUGCAAAAGAUGCAAAGGUAUGUUGACCGCCUUCGCAAGUUAAAUGUUGACUUCGGUGAAGACUUGGCGAUCGACAUGGUGCUUCACUCUUUGCCUCCGAUGUACAACCAAUUUAGGAUGACCUACCACAUGAACAAAGAAGAGGUCACCCUAAGCAAGCUCCAAGGUCUCUUGAGGGUUGCUGAGAGCAACUUCAAAGACAAGUCUGUUGCACCUACUCCCAAUCCGCCCGCUGCUCCUGUCUUGGCUAUUGGACAAGGGAAGGGAAAGAAGAGGAAAGCUUCAUCGAAGAACUAUCGCAAGGUGAAAGCCCGAGAUGGUGCCUCUUCUAGUGGGACCAAAGUUGAUCCCGCCAAGCCCUGCUCUAACCCGAAGGAGGCAGAGUGCCACCACUGCCACAAGAUAGGACAUUGGAAGAGAAGCUGCCCGGAUUACCUGCAAGCAAUCAAAGAAGGAAAGAUCAAGCCAUCUUUCGCAGGUAUAUAUACAAUCAAAUCUAACGAUUCUAAUCAUGCUAUUUCUUGGGUUCUUGAUACCGGUUGUGGUUAUCACAUUUGUUCUAAUGUGCAGGGACUAAGAAGAAGUAGGGAUGUGGAGCAAGGAAGGAUCAAUCUAAUCAUGGGGAACAGAAGAUCGUCGCCUGUGACCAAGAUUGGAGUGUAUUCCUUAGUGCUUAGGAAUAGUUUAGUUUUAGAUUUGAACAAUUGUUGCUAUUCGCCAGAAAUGGCAAGAAACAUCAUUUCAUUUCAUGGUUUAUAUAGACAAGGAUUUAGAUUUUCUUUUAAUAAUGAGAAUGGUUCUAUUUUGGCUUAUCUAAAUGGUGUCUUUUACUUUGAAGCUAUACCAUGUAAUGGAAUAUAUGAAACCGUUAUGAUUGUUGAUAACUUAGGAAAUGAUGUUUUGAAUAUUGAUUCUUCCACUAGUAUGGAUAAAGCAUCCUUGUGGCAUUGUCGUCUUGGACAUGUCAACAAGAAACGCAUAGCCCAACUCCAAAAGGAUGGAGUGUUGGAGUCAUUCGACCUUAGGGAAGAUGACACAUGCGAGUCUUGUUUGCUUGGAAAGAUGACUAAGUCACCCUUCACGAGUACAUGUGAAAGGGGCGAGGGUCUAUUGGACCUAAUACAUACCGAUGUAUGUGGACCGUUUAGAUCAACCACGAAGGAUGGGAACCGCUUCUAUGUGACUUUUACCGAUGACUAUAGUAGAUAUGGGUAUAUCUACUUAAUCAAGCAAAAGUCAGACACCUUUGAAAAGUUCAAAGAGUUCAAGAAUGAAGUGGAGAAUCAAUUGGGCAGGAAAAUCAAGAUGCUUCGAUCCGAUCGAGGAGGAGAGUACCUAAGUCUUGAAUUCCACGAUUAUCUCAAGGAGUGUGGAAUAGUUUCGCAAUUGACGCCUCCUAGGACACCGCAGUUGAAUGGUGUGGCAGAAAGGCGUAAUCGAACCUUAUUGGAUAUGGUUCGCUCUAUGAUGAGUCGUGCUUCACUACCUAUCUCUUUUUGGGGGUAUGCCUUAGAGACUGCCGCCCAUAUCCUUAACCGAGUCCCUACUAAGAAGGUUGCCAAAACACCUCACGAGAUGUGGACAGGGAAAGCUCCCUCGUUGGCACAUAUCAAGGUUUGGGGUUGCGAGGCUUUCGUAAGACGAGAUACUCACGACAAGCUUGAACCUCGAAGUGAGCGAUGUAUUUUCAUCGGCUACCCGCAGACAUCCUUUGGAUAUCUCUUCUAUAGACCGAAGGACAAUGUUGUCUUCGUUGCGAGGAGAGGAGUUUUCCGAGAGCGAGAACUCAUAAGCCAAGGAGACAGUGGGAGGCAAAUCGAGCUUGAAGAGAUUCAAGAGUCGAUAGAUGAAGGAACCUCUACCGCUGGCACUCAACCCGAGGAGGAAACUCCGGUUGAACCGAUUGACGAAUCCUUACCUCUUAGACGUUCCGAUAGAGUUAGAGUUCAUCCCCAGUUUUAUGGUUUUCAUAUUACUACCGAAGGGGACACGUAUAUUAGUGAUGGUACACUAAUAAAUCUUGAUGAACCUAAUAGCUAUAAGGAAGCCAUGGCAGGCCCGGAGUCUGCAAAAUGGAAAGAGGCAAUGGAUAGCGAGAUCCAAUCCAUGUAUGAUAACCAAGUUUGGAAUUUGGUUGAUUAUGUGCCCGGACGUAAGACCGUUGGGUGCAAAUGGAUCUUCAAGAAGAAGACCGACGUGGAUGGAAACGUACACACAUAUAAAGCGCGAUUGGUUGCGAAGGGCUUUACUCAAACUCCCGGAGUUGACUAUGAUGAGACCUUCUCACCAGUUGCGAAGAUUAAAUCUAUUAGAGUGAUGCUAGCAAUUGCCGCAUUUCAUGAUUAUGAGAUUUGGCAAAUGGAUGUCAAGACCGCUUUCCUUAACGGAAAGUUGGCUGAGGAUGUUUACAUGGCUCAGCCAGAGGGGUUUGUGGAUCCGAAGCAUCCGAAUAGAGUGUGUAAGCUUGAGAAGUCCAUUUAUGGACUUAAGCAAGCGUCUCGCAGAUGGAAUCUUUGCUUCGAUGAGAAAGUCAAAGAGUUUGGAUUUGUACGAAGCGAAGACGAAUCUUGUGUAUAUGUCAAAGCCAGUGGGAGUAUAGUAAGCUUCCUCGUUCUAUAUGUCGAUGACAUAUUACUCAUAGGAAACGACAUCCCGACUCUGCAGGAGGUUAAGUCCUGGCUCGGGAAGUGCUUCGCUAUGAAGGACCUCGGAGAGGCUUCUUACAUUUUGGGAAUAAGGAUAGUAAGAGAAAGAAGUAAGAGACUAAUUGGACUUAGUCAGAAUACUUACUUAGAGAAGGUACUAAAACGUUUUAGUAUGGAAAACUCAAAGAAGGGAGAACUACCGAUACAAAGUAAUGCCAAAUUGAGUAAGACUCAAAGUCCGAGUACCGAAGCUGAGAUAGCAGAAAUGAGCCGAGUACCAUACGCUUCCGCAGUUGGCUCAAUCAUGUACGCUAUGACUUGUACUCGCCCUGAUGUAGCCUUCGCUUUGAGCAUGGUUAGCAGAUAUCAAGGGAAUCCUGGCAGAGCACAUUGGAUUGCGGUGAAGAAUAUCCUUAAGUACCUUCGGAGGACGAAGGAAUGGUUCUUAGUCCUCGGAGGGAGUGAUGACUUGAAGGUGCGAGGGUAUAGUGACGCCAGUUUUCAGACCGACAGGGACAACUACCGUUCGCAGUCGGGCUGGGUCUUUACCCUAAAUGGAGGAGCAGUGACAUGGAAGAGUUCCAAGCAGGAAACCGUAGCUGAUUCAACGUGCGAAUCAGAGUACAUUGCAGCGAGCGAAGCGUCGAAGGAGGCAAUAUGGCUAAAGAACUUCAUCGGUGAUCUUGGAGUUGUACCUGCCAUAAAGGAGCCCAUGGAGAUUUUCUGUGAUAACGAAGGAGCGGUUGCCUUGACCAAGGAACCGAGGGAUCAUGGUAGAUCAAGACAUAUCGACAGAAAAUAUCACUUCAUUAGACAUCGUGUAGAAGAAGGACAACUCGUAGUGAAGAGGAUAUCAUCAGAAGAUAACCCAGCAGAUCCGCUUACGAAGGGACUGAGUAGGGUUAAGCACUUGCAGCAUGCUAGGAGUAUUGGGCUGAAGGAUGAUAUUAGCAUAGAUUAGAUAGUAUUAGAAACGUGUAAUAGAUAAAUGUAAUUAACAUUUGAUGAUUAAAUAAAGGAGUUUUAUUUAUGAGUAAUGUUACUAUCUUAUGUUAAUUGUUUAGCUAUUGUUUCACUUUGCAUGUUUUGACUUCCAGAAUAAUUGAGUUUAUUAGGAAUAAUCGAAUUGUUCAAAUUGUCCACAAUCGUUCAUAUGUUGGAAGUAGAUAUGAAUGAAGAUUGUCAUGAAUUGGUGUGUAGAUUGUCUAAAUGGUGUUAGACAUAGCAAAGGGUUGCUGCAACGUUCAUGAGUGCUUAUGAACUAGUUUUGAGCAUUGGAACAAACCCGCGCUUGCUGGAAUCACCUUAUGGAAUAUGAUAUAAAAGGGUGAUCGCAAGACGAUAAUAUCAUAUAGUCUUAAAACCUAGAUAUAUGGUUUGUUAUUUGUUAAUUGAUUGUACAUUGAUAAUGCGAAAACGCAUCAGUAACUUGGUGUUAUAAAACGUAUUGUUGUGUAUAGUUGGUUAAUGAAUAAGUAAAUGCAUAUAAGUCGAAGUUUAUCUGUAACUUUUAUCUAAGAAGGUAAAAGCGAUAUCUCGGCCGCUCGAUGAUUUGAUUUGACUUAUGUGCCGGGCCCGGUCAGAACUGAAUUGAUGUGUUCAAUUAAGUUCUAUGUCAAAUAAAUCAGAGAUCGAGAAACCUAAAUGCUUGACUAACCAUUCCAUAGGAUUGUCAGCAUGAUAUCUAACAGAGGACUGUACGAUCCCUUAUCUAAAGGACAAGAUUGAUUAGAUCAGAGUUUGACAGCGUCUUUGAGAGCUACGAUUGCAAACCGAAUUGUACUUGUGCAUAUAGUUACUAGACUUAUCCAAGUGGGAGACUGUUGGAAUAGUGUCUAAGGCUGCAACUAUAUUAGGCAAGUAUUUGACCCGGUUGUGCAUGGUCCUUUUGGGUUGCCUUCACCAUAGCAGCUUGAUAGGAUGAUUUAUUAAGAGAGAGUAAAUAUUAUUAAUAUAUUAUGAGAAUAAUAUAAAGAAUAAUAUAUUGUUAUUUGAUUAAUAUAAGUCAUAGAAUUAAUUGGAAUUAAUUUGGUGACUUAAAGAGAUUAAUUAAAUAAGAGGGUAUAAACUGUCAAUUGUUUGAUAGCUAAACUUUAGACUGUAAAUCCAUAUAGAUAUGGAUUAGACGGAUUCUAGAAGCUAAAGGAUAGCUCAAAUCGUCCAUUGCUUAUCUAAGGAAACGAUUAUGGAUAUCCUUAAGAGAAGAUUAUCCAAUUAGGGUUUAGGUUGUAACCCUUAAGGAGUGUACAAGUAUAAAUAGACCCUAUGGCAUAAGGACCUCAUUUGGUAAUGUCCAUAGUGUUGGUUGUGGGUUUCGACCUCGUUUGGUCAUGUCCAUAGUGUUGGCUAUGGGUUUGGACCUCAUUAGGUCAUGUAUGGGUGUUGGUUGUGGGUUUGGACCUCAUUUGGUCAUGUCCAUAGUGUUGGUUGUCGGUUUGGACCUCAUUUGGUUAUGAAUGGGUGUUGGUUGUUGGUUUGGACCUCAUUAGGUCGUAUCCAUAGUGUUGGUUGUACGUUUGGACCUCAUUUGGUAAUGUCCAUAGUGUUGGUUGUGGGUUUGGACCUCAUUUUGUCAUGUCCAUAGUGUUGGUUGUGGGUUUGGACCUUAUUAGGUCAUGUACGUGUGUUGGUUGUGGGUUUUGACCUCAUAAGGUCACGUACGGGUGUUGGUUGUGGCUUUAGACCUUAUUAGGUCAUGUCCAUGGUGUUGGUUGUGGGUUUGGACCUCAUUUGGUAAUGUCCAUAGUGUUGGUUGUAGGUUUGGACCUCAUGUGGUCAUGUCCAUAGUGUUGGUUGUGGGUUUGGACCUCAUUUGGUCAUGUAUGGGUGUUGGUUGUGGGUUUGGACCUCAUUAGGUCAUGUCCAUUGUGUUGGUUGUACGUUUGGACCUUAUUUAAUAAUGUCCAUAGUGUUGGUUGUGGGUUUGGACCUCAUUUGGUAAUGUCUAUAGUGUUGGUUGUUGGUUUGGACCUCAUUAGGUCAUGUACGGGUGUUGGUUGUGGGUUUGGACCUCAUUAGGUCAGGUACGGGUGUUGGUUGUGGGUUUGGACCUCAUUAGGUCAUGUAUAGGUGUUGAUUGUGGUGUUGGACCUAAUUCGGUCAUGUCUAUAGUCUUGGUUGUGGGUUUGGACCUCAUUUGGUCAUUUUCAUAGUGUUGGCUGUGGGUUUGGACCUCAUUUGGUCAUGUAUGGUUGUUGGUUGUGGGUAUGGACCUCAUUUGGUCAUGUCCAUAGUGUUGGUUGUGGGUUUGGACCUCAUUAGGUCAUGUAUGGGUGUUAGUUGUGGGUUUGGACCUCGUUUUGUCGUGUCCAUAGUAUUGGUUGUGGGUUUAGACCUCACUAGGUCAUGUAUGGGUGUUGGUUGUGGGUUUGGACCUCAUUUGGUCAUGUAUGGGUGUUGGUUGUUUGUUUGGACCUCAUUAGGUUAUGUCUAUAGUGUUGGUUGUGGGUUUGGACCUCAUUUGGUAAUGUCCAUAGUGUUGGUUGAGGGUGUGUACCUCAUUUGGCCGUUUGCCAUAGUGUUGGUUGUGGGUUUGGACCUCAUUAGGGCAUGUGCGGGUGUUGGUUGUAGGUUUUUACCUCAUUUGGUCAUGUAUGGGUGUUGAUUGUGGGGUUGGACCUCAUUUGGUCAUGUCCAUAGUCUUGGUUGUGGGUUUGGACCUCAUUCGGUCAUGUUCAUAGCGUUGGAUGUUGGUUUGGACCUCAUUUGGUCAUGUAUGGGUGUUGGUUGUGGGUUUAAACCUCAUUAGGUCAUGUACAUAGUGUUGGUUGUACGUUUGGACCUUAUUUGGUAAUGUCAAUAGUGUUGCUUGUGGGUUUGGACCUCAUUUGGUAAUGUCUAUAGUGUUGCUUGUGGGUUUGCACCUCAUUAGGUCAUGUACGGGUGUUGGUUGUGGGUUUGGACCUCAUUAGUUCAUGUGCGGGUGUUGGUUGUGGGUUUGGACCUCAUUAGGUCAUGUAUAGGUGUUGAUUGUGGGCUUGGACCUCAUUUGGUCAUGUCUAUAGUCUUGGUUGUGGGUUUGGCCCUCAUUUGAUCAUUUUCAUAGUGUUGGCUGUGGGUUUGGACCUCAUUUGGUCAUGUAUGGGUGUUGGUUGUGGGUAUGGACCUCAUUUGGUCAUGUCCAUAGUGUUGGUUGUGGGUUUGGACCUCAUUAGGUCAUGUACGGGUGUCAGUAUUGGGUUUGGACCUCGUUUUGUCAUGUCUAUAGUGUUAGUUGUGGGUUUAGACCUCAUUGGGUCAUGUAUGGGUGUUGGUUGUGGGUUUGGACCUCAUUAGGUCAUGUCCAUAGUGUUGGUUGUACGUUUGGACCUCAUUCGGUAAUGUGCAUACUGUUGGUUGUGGGUUUGGACCUCAUUUGGUCAUGUGCAUAGUGUUGGUUGUGGGUUUGGACCUCAUUUGGUCAUGUGCAUAGUGUUGGUUGUGGGUUUGGAC